UACGGAGGGGGCUAGCGUUGUUCGGAAUUACUGGGCGUAAAGCGCACGUAGGCGGCUUUGUAAGUUAGAGGUGAAAGCCCAGGGCUCAACCCUGGAAUUGCCUUUAAGACUGCAUCGCUUGAACAUCGGAGAGGGAAGUGGAAUUCCGAGUGUAGAGGUGAAAUUCGUAGAUAUUCGGAAGAACACCAGUGGCGAAGGCGACUUACUGGACGAUUGUUGACGCUGAGGUGCGAAAGCGUGGGGAGCAAACAGG
rnacentral:rRNA from 1 species